UAAAAAAAGGUAAGCUACUAAGAGCGAAUGGUGGAUGCCUUGACUGGUAAAGGCGAUGAAGGACGUACUAGACUGCGAUAAGCUACGGGGAGCUGUCAAGAAGCUUUGAUCCGUAGAUUUCCGAAUGGGGCAACCCAAUGUAUAGAGAUAUACAUUACCUAUAUAGGAGCGAACGAGGGGAAUUGAAACAUCUUAGUACCCUCAGGAAAAGAAAUCAAUAGAGAUUGCGUCAGUAGCGGCGAGCGAAAGCGCAAGAGGGCAAACCCAGUGCUUGCACUGGGGGUUGUAGGACUGCAAUGUGCAAGAGCUGAGUUUAGCAGAACAUUCUGGAAAGUAUAGCCAUAGAGGGUGAUAGUCCCGUAUGCGAAAAACAAAGCUUAGCUAGCAGUAUCCUGAGUAGGGCGGGACACGAGGAAUCCUGUCUGAAUCCGGGUCGACCACGAUCCAACCCUAAAUACUAAUACCAGAUCGAUAGUGCACAAGUACCGUGAGGGAAAGGUGAAAAGAACUGAGGUGAUCAGAGUGAAAUAGAACCUGAAACCAUUUGCUUACAAUCAUUCAGAGCACUAUGUAGCAAUACAGUGUGAUGGACUGCCUUUUGCAUAAUGAGCCUGCGAGUUGUGGUGUCUGGCAAGGUUAAGCAAACGCGAAGCCGUAGCGAAAGCGAGUCUGAAUAGGGCGCUUAGUCAGAUGCUGCAGACCCGAAACGAAGUGAUCUAUCCAUGAGCAAGUUGAAGCUAGUGUAAGAACUAGUGGAGGACUGAACCCAUAGGCGUUGAAAAGCCCCGGGAUGACUUGUGGAUAGGGGUGAAAGGCCAAUCAAACUUCGUGAUAGCUGGUUCUCUCCGAAAUAUAUUUAGGUAUAGCGUUGUGUCGUAAUAUAAGGGGGUAGAGCACUGAAUGGGCUAGGGCAUACACCAAUGUACCAAACCCUAUCAAACUCCGAAUACCUUAUAUGUAAUCACAGCAGUCAGGCGGCGAGUGAUAAAAUCCGUCGUCAAGAGGGAAACAACCCAGACUACCAGCUAAGGUCCCUAAAUCUUACUUAAGUGGAAAACGAUGUGAAGUUACUUAAACAACCAGGAGGUUGGCUUAGAAGCAGCCAUCCUUUAAAGAAAGCGUAAUAGCUCACUGGUCUAGUGAUUUUGCGCGGAAAAUAUAACGGGGCUAAAGUAAGUACCG
rnacentral:rRNA from 1 species